AUUGUUUCUUUCGUGAAAAGUGUUAGAAGAAACUUCUGUAAAAAUGAAGGGCUGUUUGUACAGGUUGAAUUUAGCCAGGGAAAUUAACCUCUCUUUGUUUAUUCUUUAGCCAAUGAGAUGAGAUAACUUUUUCUACAAUCCAUAACAGCUGAAAUAUUGUGUAAAGGAACCUGUCUGCCCUGAUUUACUAGGAAAGUAAAGAUUUACUCUGGAAAUUUAUUGCCCUGGGAAAGAGGUGAGCAAGUAGAUGUCUUGCAUAAAGCUGGAGGAUGAGUACCAAGCUCCAGGAUUGCAUUUACUUUCCAGGCUCAUGAAACCCUGGUUGCCUGCUAUCACAAUCCUUUGUCCCACCUAGUCCAAGGAAGAACACUCAUCAACAGGCCAAGCUCUCUGCAUAGUUGUUGGACAUCUGCUUUUUUCCAAAAUAGCUUGAGUUUGUCAAAGAACUGGCAAUCUUGACUCAUUUCUUCACUGCUUGUGCAUCCCAAUACCCACUGAAAACUAAUUUAUCUUAAGACAAGCAUAGUAUUCUUCCAUUGAGGACAAAGUCUGAGACCCAAGAGAAAGGGAACUGAGGAGGAGUGGAAGAAGAACGGAUGGUUGACUGAAAAUCGUUGCUUGGUUGCACUUGAGCUAGGAAGGAUGCUAAGAAGAAAGGCAAAGUUGAUCUGCAAAAUGGAAUGACUUCCACCUGAAAAGAAUAAGCAGUCUAGAGCUCUUCAACUUGGAAAACAAACCGUGGGAGGAAACAGGGAGAUGUGAUAAAUUUUAUAAUAUCGUAAGUGGUGCAGAGAAGGUGAUUAAGGAGUGGCAAUUAAUUACUUCUCACAGUAUGAAAACAAC